rnacentral:rRNA from 1 species
CGCUCCAAUAGCGUAUAUUAAUGUUGUUGCAGUUAAAAAGCUCGUAGUUGGAUUUCGGAUUGGGCCAGUUGGUCGGCCGCAAGGUCUGUUACUGACUGGUUCGGUCUUCUUCGCAAAGACUGCGUGUGCUCUUCGUUGAGUGUGCGUAGGAUUUACGACGUUUACUUUGAAAAAAUUAGAGUGUUCAAAGCAGGCUAUCGCUUGAAUACAUGAGCAUGGAAUAAUGGAACAGGACUACGGUCCCUUGUUUCGUUGGUUUCGAGGACCGAAGUAAUGAUUAAGAGGGACAGUUGGGGGCAUCCGUAUUUCGCAGUCAGAGGUGAAAUUCUUGGAUCCGCGAAAGACGAACUACUGCGAAAGCAUUUGCCAAGAGUGUUUUCAUUAAUCAAGAACGAAAGUA